CAUCUCAUUUUCAUCAGAUUUGAAAGAAGAAGAAAAAAUGUCUGUGUUAUAUCCUGAAAUCAAAUUUGAGACUUCUAACUUCACCAGAAGUUCCCUGAACACUUAUUUUCUUUUUGAGAGUAGUUGGAAGAAAGCAAUUUUAGAAACCGAGAAGAUGAGGAAAGAAUAUCCCUCAGCAUUUGGUCUGGAAGAGUUCAAAGAAUGUGUCAAGAUGCCAUAUUUACCAGUAUUGCCAACAUGCCAAAAGAGUGUAAGUUCAACUCCACUGGAGAAUCAUAAACAACUGCUACACACGGACACCCAGAUGCCUACAGUCAGCUAUUCUAGUGAGAACAUGUCAAGUUGCCUGCAAGUAUUUUAUUCUCCUCUGCACAUCGCACAGCGCCCUGUGAAAGAACAAUUUUGGCAAAGCAGGAUAAAGAAGACAAAGGGUACAUGUGCCAUGGUACCACUUCAGGAGAAAUCAAAAGAUUCUAAUUUCAGUGACCCUGUUACUGGAGCACCAGUUCAGUACUUACAAAGACUUUCCAAAAUGGCUCUUUUGGAGUUUAAUACCAUUCGUCAGGAAACAAGUAAAAAAUCAAAAAAAGGCAAGAAGCGAGAGUUACGAGACUGCUGAUAAAUACCAUACGGUGUGAUGCUUUCUUCACUGCUUUUUAAGAUUUAAUUGACUCAACAUUAUUUGAGUACCUGUCUGUGCAAUGAACUGUGCUGCAGAAAGUCUUCCUGGAAGACAAAAGAAGACGGAAAGAGGAGGAGAGUCCGUGUCCUUGCAUGUUUUAUAUUAAUUUACACAAAUACACUAUUAAUAUGUAUGUGUGUGUCUGCAUUAUUACAAUGGAUUAGUUCCUAGGAGGAUAACUAAUUUAAAUGGAUUUGUUUAUAUUUUGAUUGGGAUCAUAUGAGAAUAUGUGAAUUUUCAAAAUCAUAUAAAUUUUGAUUGAGAAUGAUUUAAAUACUACCUAUACUUAAAAGGUAUUCUCAAUAAAAAUUUGGUGACCUC
rnacentral:lncRNA from 1 species